rnacentral:miRNA from 1 species
UCAGGGGCACCACUGGGACUCA